GUCCACGCCCUAAACGAUGUCAACUAGGUGUUGGGAGGGUAAAACCUUUUAGUACCGGAGCUAACGCGUGAAGUUGACCGCCUGGGGAGUACGGCCGCAAGGUUAAAACUCAAAGGAAUUGACGGGGACCCGCACAAGCGGUGGAUGAUGUGGAUUAAUUCGAUGCAACGCGAAAAACCUUACCUACCCUUGACAUGUCCAGGAGUCUUGAGAGAUUGAGAUGUGCCCGAAAGGGAACUGUAACACAGGUGCUGCAUGGCUGUCGU
rnacentral:rRNA from 1 species